GACGAACGCUGGCGGCGUGCUUAACACAUGCAAGUCGAACGGAAAGACCCUGCUUUUGUGGGGUGCUCGAGCGGCGAACGGGUGAGUAACACGUGAGUAACCUGCCCUUGACUUUGGGAUAACUUCAGGAAACUGGGGCUAAUACCGGAUAGGAGCUCCUGCUGCAUGGUGGGGGUUGGAAAGUUUCGGCGGUUGGGGAUGGACUCGCGGCUUAUCAGCUUGUUGGUGGGGUAGUGGCUUACCAAGGCUUUGACGGGUAGCCGGCCUGAGAGGGUGACCGGCCACAUUGGGACUGAGAUACGGCCCAGACUCCUACGGGAGGCAGCAGUGGGGAAUAUUGCACAAUGGGCGGAAGCCUGAUGCGGCAACGCCGCGUGCGGGAUGACGGCCUUCGGGUUGUAAACCGCUUUCGCCUGUGACGAAGCGUGAGUGACGGUAAUGGGUAAAGAAGCACCGGCUAACUACGUG
rnacentral:rRNA from 1 species